GAUGAACGCUAGCGGCGCGCUUAUGCAUGCAAGUCGAGCGAUGAGACUCCUACGGGAGCACAUCAGCGGCAGACGGGUGAGUAACACGUAGAUGGCGUACCCUCAAGACGGGGAUAACGGAUGGAAACAUGCGCUAAUACCGGAUGACCUUACGAUGUCAGAAUGGUAAGGAAAGCUACGGCGCUUGAGGAGCGGUCUGCGGCCCAUCAGCUAGUUGGUAGGGUAAAGGCCUACCAAGGCGAAGACGGGUAGGGGGUGUGAGAGCACGGCCCCCCACAAUGGGACUGAGACACGGCCCAUACUCCUACGGGAGGCAGCAGCAGGGAAUAUUGCACAAUGGACGGAAGUCUGAUGCAGCGACGCCGCGUGAGUGAAGAAGGCCUUCGGGUUGUAAAACUCUUUUGAGGGGGAAGAGCGAGGACGGUACCCCUGGAAUAAGCGUCGGCUAACUACGUGCCAGCAGCCGCGGUAAGACGUAGGACGCGAGCGUUAUCCGGAUUUACUGGGCGUAAAGCGUCUGUAGGCGGAUGUGUAAGUUGGGCGUGAAAGCUCCGGGCUUAACCCGGAGAGGCCGUUCAAUACUGCAUAACUUGAGGGUGUCAGAGGGGAGCGGAAUUCCCGGUGUAGCGGUAGAAUGCGCAGAGAUCGGGAGGAACACCAGUGGCGGAGGCGGUUCCCUGGGGCACACCUGACGCUGAGAGACGAAAGCUAGGGGAGCGAACAGGAUUAGAGACCCUGGUAGUCCUAGCCCUAAACGAUGAAUGCUAGGUGUGGGAUCGAAUGGUUCCGUGCCGGAGCGAACGCGAUAAGCAUUCCGCCUGGGGAGUACGGCCGCAAGGUUAAAACUCAAACGAAUUGACGGGGCCCCGCACAAGCAGCGGAGCGUGUGGUUUAAUUCGAUGCUACACGAAGAACCUUACCUGGGUUUGACAUGUAGGUGGUAGUGAAUCGAAAGGUGAACGACCCUUCGGGGAGCCUACACAGGUGCUGCAUGGCUGUCGUCAGCUCGUGCCGUGAGGUGUCGGGUUAAGUCCCGUAACGAGCGCAACCCUUGCUCCUAGUUACAAGUGUCUAGGGGGACUGCCGGCGGAAAGCCGGAGGAAGGUGGGGAUGACGUCAAGUCAGCAUGG
rnacentral:rRNA from 1 species